GCGGGCGUAGUUCAAUGGUAGAACGAGAGCUUCCCAAGCUCUAUACGAGGGUUCGAUUUCCCUUCGCCCGCUCCA
rnacentral:tRNA from 1 species